CGCUUCCGAGGAGCGUUGCGACGGGUAAUCGCUUUACAUUCGCCCGCCAGGCUCGGAGCAUUCAAUCCGGACGGUUCGAAGGCAUGGAAAAUGCCCGCUGAGCCACCGCAUCGAACGGCGCUCACGUCAA
rnacentral:ncRNA from 2 species